ACCACCGCCCAACGCCGCCAGCCCCGUCCUCCUCCCUGGCUCCCGGCGGCGCCCGCUCCCCAUCUCCUCCUGCGAUCCUGGCGUCGCCCCGCCCCACCUUCUCCCUCACUCUCGGCGCCUCCCCGCCCCCUCCUUCUCCCUCACCACUAGCGCCGCCCAACCCCCAACCUUCCUGGAUCCUGGCGCUGCCCCGCCCCCACCUCCUCCCUCGCUCCCGGCCACCCAUGCCGCCUAUGCGCGCCCCUCCCUCAGCCCACCGGCGACCUCCCAUCCUCCACCGUCUACCCCACCGUCGGAUCUCCUCCUCCCCUCUCCUUCUCUCCCUCGCGGACGCGUCAAACCCACGAAAUUUCCCUCCUCGCGGCCGGAACCCUAGCUCGCGCCUGUGGGGACUGGGCUGGAGGUGCGGCACGGGAUUCGCACCACAGGAUUCGCCAGCGACGAGUCCAACAGGUCGUCGAAUCGGGGAAUGGGAUGGCGCACCCUGCUGCAGCCACCGGUCGGGAUGAGCGCGGCGGCGACGAACAUCGGUGCGCCUCCGUUUCCUCGACCUCCAAGGACGCGGGCGCCGGAUUUGUUCUAGCUUGACCAGCCUCGGUAUCCAGCUCCCUACAGCCACCGCCGGCGUUGACUCCCAAGCAGGCGAGGAUGACGACGAUGCCAAAGAUGACGAGGCCCCGAGCUCGAGCACGACCACUAUGACGCACUGCACAAAGGCCCCUGCUUCCUGCCUGCCCUUCCCUUUGCUUGGAAGAUAGCUCUCUCCAGAUGUUGUUCCUGUCCUUCUCCUUGGUUGUUGAGCGCUGCACUCACUCAUGUAUGCAGGUUGAGUCCAAGCACAAUAGGCGAGAAGACGACGGUGACGCAGAGGAGGACGAGGACCCGCGCUCCAGCCCGACCACGACUAUGCACCGCACGGUCCCUGCUUCCUGGCUGUCGCCAAUUGCCCCCUUCCCUUUACAGUACUACUCUAUUUGUUUUCAUUGCUUUUCACCCAGUUUUGCACACUUUCUGGCCCUUCACUUUUUUGUGUGCAAAUGUUCUGAUUGCCUCCAUAUGGCUGUUUCCGUCCUCCUGCUCGUGUUGUCUCCAUCCUCCUACUCAAGUCGUCGCCGUCGCCUCCCAUCUUUCAUGGCCAACAGUGUGUGCGCCCACUGUUGGAGGACGACGUUGAACAUGAAGUGGAGCCCAGCCGGAGCGGUCUGACGCGGUGGUCGUGGCCAAGGAGCGGUGGUCGAUGCUAUGGAGUAGGGGCCCUCGGUCGCCUGCACAUCGGCUGCGUUCUGAACUAAUGCUUUCUGCAACUGCAAUGUUCCCCUUCACAUUGUAUCUUGUGUAGGCAGAAGGAAUGCAGCUCAGUGACAGCGUCGGCUACAACUGGAUCGAUGGCCUGAAGGCUUUUACUAAGAAGAUGAAGAAUGUAGAAUAGUGUCCAUCAACAAAGAGUCCUACUACUACCAGUUGGAGAGGCUCUAUCCUCAGUGCACCACCCUUUCUACACACAUCAUUCAUGGAUUGGCAGACUAAAGGUUCUAUUCAACAUCUUUGGUGGAUUGCAUAAAUGGGCUAGAGUAAAAAUAGACCAGAAUUGGUAUAUGUGCUUAGGGAAGUGGGAUUAGAUCAAGAUUUUUUUGACAAAAUGAGAAAUCAAUGGCUCAAGGAGAGUAAGCCCAAAGAGAUAAGUAUUGUUUUCCUUUAGUAGCUUGCUGCAUAAUUCGUUCAAACAUAUUUAGAGUGGAGCAGGAAUAUUCACACAAGGAAAUGUACACAAUAUCUGUUAGUAUACAUGUGACACUUUCCCGUCUUUCGACUAAUGAUUGCCUCCUGCCAGGUAUCACUAAUAGCACAUUCAUCACAUCAUUUGUGUAGCUCAUUCUGGUGUAAGUCGGGCCAAUUUAGAAAAGAUUUUAAAGCAGAUUCAUACAGGUUAUAGAAGUCAGAGUCAAAUAGUAUAAUAAGUGAUUUGUUUGUGCAUAAUUUCUAAUUGAUCGUCUUCUAAGGAUAAAUGGACCUGCUACCUUUCCUCUCUCCAAUAAACUACUAGACCCUGCUUGUAACUAUUUUUCAUCUUGGUGUGAUUUAUAAGGGAGGCCAUGCCAUUAGGUUUUUGUUAUUACAUGUUGUGAUGACCCCGAUUCAUUGAUGUAUAGUGUCGUAUGUGGUCAAUUACCUAAUAUGGUAGUAUCACUUCUCCUGGUUUGCCUUGGUCUGAAAUCUGACUUUUGGACUGAUUGUAGUCAAUCUGAAUUAGUGAGGCUCUUUUUUCCAACUGUCCAUGUUCAGUUCUCUACAUUAUCAUGCAUUUUAAUUGGUUUAAAGAUGUCAUGAUGUUCACCAAGGCAGAGAAGAAAUGUUUUAAAGUUGUCCCUUCAAUUGAAACAAGUACGACUUGGUCCUUAGUGCCUAUGCAGACAUGAAAACGGAAGGUCGAGAGGUUUAAAUAUGUCAUGAUGUUUACAAUUGCGGAUAUCCUACUUCAGGUACUUGCCUGAUAACUCACAAUUUCAACACAGAAGUUACUAAUCAGUAAGACAUGCCCUCUCUCAUUCAAUGAUGUCCUGAAAUUUUCACACAAAGCUUUGUAAUCUUGCCAAGUCACAAGAGAGCCAAGUAAUCAUGCAAAUUUUCAGAGAACUUCAAGUGGCAUGCCACCAUUUGCAAUGGUUGUGAUGUAGUGAUAAUUAAUAAACUGCAGGCCUUCUAAAUAUUCUAAAGUUGCAUAUCUAAGAGCAUAUUAUAUUUCUCAUAAACAACUGGAGUUAAGCUUCUAUCCUCUUCCUGUCUUGAAGGAAUUAUCUGUUGAGUAAGCUAAAGUCUCUUUGUUUGACUAGCUAGGCUGUGUUACAUACAUGUAUAAGAUGAUGCUUCUGUGGCUAUAACUGGUGCCUGCCGCGCUAAAUAGGAAACAUCCUAUUAAUUACCCACCUCAAUUUCAUUAGUGCGUCCGGCCUGUGAAUUUUACCCCAGACUAUAAAUCCCCUCCAAACGAAACCCUAUAGGUGUACUAUGACUCUUAAUAGUGUAUCCUUGUAAAAGUCAGUGUGUUGGGUUAUUUUUUGGUGUGGUUAGAGAACUCAACUCCAUUUGGAACGAGGGUUUGAGUUUUAUUUUUCCUAAACCUUUGAGAGGCAGAGCCAUGGAAAUAUUUUGUGCUCUCAUUCCUCUGGAUGGAAGCUCUAACUUUUCCUCUUUGUUUCCAAUAAGCUACUUUCUUCGAGAUUGUGCAAUGAAGGAUUUUGAUGGUAAGGGAUCGUAGAGCCUCGGGUGACUAGCAUUAAGAUAGGAAGGCUGUUGCCGCCCUUGUCCCUUGCUGCUGGGUUGCCAUUGUGGCGUCAAUCACUGGCUUAUUUAGAACAAUAGUUAGUAGAUUUUGUGAUAAGGGUGAGGGCCGAGAGUGAGAGGGACGGGGUUGGGAUUGGUCUGUUGUAUGCAUGAAAUUAUUUCCCUACUUUAGAAAAUAUGGCAAAUUGCAUUUCAUUAGAGAUUGAUUUACAGCAAAUUGCAUGAGCGAGUGGUUCAUGCAUUUUUCAUCAAGUCGUACAUUUUCUUGGUUAUGACAUAAGGGUAAAUGUACUGGUUGGUUGCUUCAAGACUUAAUAACAGACACUAUGACAAUGGCUCAAGAGAUAUCAGAUCUACCUUCUUGGCUGGGGGCGUUAUGGGUGGCGCAUGCCUCGGCUCCCUGGAUGACCGUGGUGGAUGGACAUGAACACGAGGGGGGAUCAGGGCGGAGAGCAGGGUGGUUGGCGGGGGACUCAUCCUUGGCAGUUCAUGGGAAAGUACGGUGUGAAGCAGAGGGGGCGCCAUGGCGAAGUGUGAAAGGAGGAAAAUGGUCGCCGGAAAGCAGGUAGAUCUACACCUUGAGAGAUGGCAUUUUGCGGUACAUUGUUUAGGUAAGGAUAUUGUGCUUUCUUCUGAAAACUCUGGACUGUCGACAAGAUUGAGUUGUGUUCCAUUUUUUAAAAAUUACUUAGAAUCCUGCUUCUGGAAAUACUACUAUGAACUGGCAUACCUCGUGAUCAUGAGAGUAUGACAAGUUCCUGAUCCCCAAGAACGCCCUCAUGUGCGGCUGUCGGUCGUCGGACAAGACAUCUCUGACGACUUAGCCACACAGCGAACCUAAGUUCGUCAUGGGAGGAUGUCACCUUGGACUGGAGCAACAGACGUCAAAAAUUUACCAGGAAAAAAGGCUCACAAAUAAGAGUGACCCAAACACAAAUUGUCGUACGUUUGCAAUUAAACUCUUAGUAGCAGCUUGAUUCUUACUAUUGUUACUUUGGUGGUGGGUAUAAUUAGUCAUGUUAGCAUCUUAGCUUCAUCUUAUUUCUUGAGAACAUAUCUAGCUAUCAGAUCUUCAAGAUUACACCAUAAAAAUUGAAACGCCUAUCAGCUUCAUAGAAGAAAGUUAGUCUUAUGAUAGAAGAAAGGCCCAUCAGCCCUUACAGUGCCUGAUUGGUUAGCGACUGCUUUUCAGGCUCAACUGAUUACUGACUAACUACGUCCAACAACAUAUGACUGACAUGACCAAGUAGAAGUAAAUUUCGUUGUGAUCAAGAUGGUGCCUUUAUUUUGGAAAACACGAUUGAGAUGGGUAGGCGCAUGGGCAUCUCACCAGAACAAAUAGACAGACUGAUUUCACUCAUAGACAGGUUGAUUAUAUUAUACCACUAGUAGAAAAGGGGGCAACGGUCCA